UGUACCAUCCUAAACCCCUCCCCCACACCCAGAGGAAAGCCCUUUUGUGUCAUGAGCAGGCUGAACACAGACCAACUGCUGACCAGCAAACUGGGAGGAGAGACACUCCUGGCAAGAUGUGUUCCUCAGGAUCCAGAAAAACUAGGACCAGGAGGUGCUUGAGGACAAGAGGACUUUGAAAAGAAAGGGCCUUGCCAUGUUAACUAGAGGUGCCUGCCAGCCAACAGCCCAGCCCCUGAACACACAAGGAAUUUUGACCUCACAUAGUGAAAUUUCCUAGAACUUUAAACCUU